GCCAGACUCCUACGGGAGGCAGCAGUGGGGAAUAUUGCACAAUGGGGGAAACCCUGAUGCAGCGACGCCGCGUGAGCGAUGAAGUAUUUCGGUAUGUAAAGCUCUAUCAGCAGGGAAGAAAAUGACGGUACCUGACUAAGAAGCCCCGGCUAACUACGUGCCAGCAGCCGCGGUAAUACGUAGGGGGCAAGCGUUAUCCGGAUUCACUGGGUGUAAAGGGAGCGUAGACGGCAUAGCAAGUCUGAAGUGAAAGCCCAAGGCUCAACCAUGGGACUGCUUUGGAAACUGUUAAGCUAGAGUGCUGGAGAGGUAAGCGGAAUUCCUAGUGUAGCGGUGAAAUGCGUAGAUAUUCGGAGGAACACCGGUGGCGAAGGCGGCCAACUGGGCUUUAACUGACGCUGAGGCUCGAAAGUGUGGGGAGCAAACAGGAUUAGAUACCCCGGUAG
rnacentral:rRNA from 1 species